GAAUCUUGGACAAUGGGGGCAACCCUGAUCCAGCCAUGCCGCGUGAGUGAAGAAGGCCUUAGGGUUGUAAAGCUCUUUCAACGGUGAAGAUGAUGACUGUAGCCGUAGAAGAAGCCCCGGCUAACUCCGUGCCAGCACCCGCGGUAAUACGGAGGGGGCAAGCGUUUUUCGGAAUUACUGGGCGAAAAGGGCGUGUAGGCGGCUAUUCAAGUCAGGGGUGAAAGGCCUGGGCUCAACCUGGGAACUGCCUUUGAAACUGAAUGGCUUGAGACCGGAAGAGGAUGGCGGAAUUCCCAGUGUAGAGGUGAAAUUCGUAGAUAUUGGGAAGAACACCGGUGGCGAAGGCGGCCAUCUGGUCCGGUUCUGACGCUGAGGCGCGAAAGCGUGGGGAGCAAACAGG
rnacentral:rRNA from 1 species